rnacentral:lncRNA from 1 species
CCAAGAUGAAUAACUGAGGUUGGGAGUUAAAAAAAUAAUAAAAUAAUAAUAAUAAUAAUAAUAAUAAGCUGAGUCAUUUGUUGAAGCAGGAGCUGUAACUUAGAGGGACACUAGGCAAAUCAAAGCAUUAGCUGGUAUUAAGAAUAAACCAAAGAAGAGUUGAAGCCCUGCUCCUUCUCCAUUCCCUACCUUUCAUCCGACCCAAAAGAAAGAAAAGGAAACAGUUCCUUGACUAAUUUCAUGUUCAUUCGUUCAAAAAAAAAAAAUUGGUCCCUUCCAUCCGUCCCAAAACAAGUUUCCACUCUCAAACUAAUAGCAUGAGUAUUAGAAGAAUUUUAGCUAAUAAUUGUAUUGGGGGCGGAUUAAACACCAAUUGCAGAAAGAAUGACAAUAAUCAGCCCUCACCAAGUUGAAAUUUUCAUUAUAUUAAAAGGUAUGAAUACUUUUCCUACUAAUUCAUGAAAAUUUAGUUAAUUAUGCACUGUUGGUGCCAUGUUUGGUUGUUGGAGGUUGUCUACACGGAGGAAUCAGAUGGAUUCGGGAGUCAUAAGAAGAAUUUUGUAAGGAGAUUGGCAUGAUUGCAUAUUCAAAUACUAUGUAAAAUUUGAUUUUUAUACUAUGCAUGUUACGUGUUCGAUAAAAUGUUUCAAAGGGAUUGUAUGGUUAAAACUUGAGAAUUUACUAGUAUUCUGUACAAUGUGGUAUAUAUACACGAGUUGGGGGAUAAUUUAAGCUAUUUAGAUGUAUCAAAUCAAAUGCUAAAUGUGAUUUAAAGAAUUUUGUUUAAUUUGGGUUAUGUGAAAAAUAUGAUAAUUAGCUAAUGUCAGUUCUAGGAUGAGAGAGGGCUUUGGUUCAUCAUUUGUUUAUGUUUGUGCCUACCAUGGUCACUCAGAUUGCAUGCAUGAGUUUCUGUGGGCUAGGGCUAACUUAAAUGCAUGUGAACCAACAUCCGAAGCUAGUUAUUAUGGAAGCGAAAAGCAAUUGGAAAUCAAAACGAAAAGUGAUAAACUAGUAUGACCGCUGACCUUGAGGCCAAUUUCGGGUCUAGUAUAUGUUUCCAAAAAAUUCUAGGCUUUUGGGAUAUUAUAGCACACUGAAUAAGCUUUCGAUAGACUCCGGAACGGACUAAUUCCGGUUUCGGAACAAGGACUUGUGACAGUUCAAAGUAGUUGCGUCGAAUCUGCUUAAAAUCUGGAAAACAGAUUUGAAGCAGCCCCCUUACAUGAAUUUUCUGGAAUUCUGUGUUUAGAAUUUGAAAAUGUCAAAGAAUAAAAGUUGUAGUCCCGGAAGUUAGCUUCGCGUGGGCUCAAGAAUCGCUUAAAAGUGUUUUGAAACGAAAAAGUUAUGACUGUUUUAGUGCAAUAUAUUCAGGCUGGAAAAAAAUUUUGAAAACUGUUACGAGCGGGCAUUUUUGGGGCUUGUUUUAGGCUGCUUAUGAGGUCCGAAAUGGGUGGUUUGUAUUUUUUUAAAAAUAGUUUACUAUGGUAUUUAUAUCAUAUCAAAAAUUGGUUGUAAUCCAAAUUACGAGCGAAAAGUUAAAAAUGCACAAACUAGGCAUUUCGUUAUGGGGGCAUGCGCUGCACCAGUCGCCUGCGCACGCCGUCCGGCGCUGUGCUGUGCAGUUCGCCCAACUGGUUUUGGCUUGUGGUUCUAGCAAUUUGGGUUUCUUGUAAUGCUUGGAUUAUAAUUUUUAUAAUUAGACGGAUAUACUACCUAAAACAUAUCCAAAAUUCAAAGCAUAUGAACGAGUGGUUUAAAAGAUUUAACAUCACGAAACGAGCGUCAAAGCAAGGGGACUGACCAGCCAACGCCAAGCCCGGUUGAGCCAUGCGAGGCCCAACUGCUAGCAGCGUUGGGCUGUUUGGCUAGUUGGUUCUGCAAUGCGAUUUUUGUUCACUUUAAUGAUUUGACAUGUAGCAAGACACCGGAAUGGAAAUAAAAAUGUAAUAUAACAACUUUAUGCCAUGAAAACUCAUCUUGAGCGUAAGGAAAACAAUAAACAUGUAAUGUAAACAUAAGUUUACUUGUUUACGCAAAUGUAAAGUACAAGCGAAGCGAAAUUGUAAGUUAUUUGCGGGAAUAAAUGCGAAGCUAAGCUACAAAUAAAGUGAAACAUUCGCGUACGUGGCGAUAACAUGACUUAACACAUGAACUACUGAAAAGGUAUGAAAAUUACCGAAAUUAAAGAAAUGAUGUAGUAAGCCAUGUUUGUGCAGUAAAAAAAAAACUAUUCAUAAACCAUAUGGUUCCGAGUUUACUAUAAAAGAGAGGAAUAUUCUUAAAAUAGGAUACAAGUGGUUUAUGUUUCAAGAUGUAAAGUAUUUAUACACUAAUGUCAUGUGAGAACCUUAUUAUGCAUAAAAAGGUUAAAACGAACAUAGUUUCUAAAGAAACCGAGAAUGGUUAUAAGACAAGAAUAAAAGAUUAUAGGUUAUGGUAACUAAUGAUCAUGACUUAUAUGAUUAUUUAAUAUGCAUAGGUCAUGUGACAUAAUUGGUUAUUUAAUAUGCAUGUAUGUGAACACGAUUGUGUAAGAUUCGUGAGGAGAAGUUAAAGUAAACUAUAACGGUAAUCCACAAUUAAGGCAAGUUUUUCAGUUCUAUUAUGUUUGUGAAUUAAAUGUGAUUAUGUGGUGAGUUACAUAUCAUGCUUUAUAAAUCGUUAAAAUCAAAAUAUGACUAAGUUAAUUGAGUUAUGGAACUCAAUUUAUAUGUGAUAUGUGAUAUGUGAUAUGUGAUAAUACAUGUUGUAUUAAGUAACUCGAUAAAUUAGAAAUGUAUAAUGCAUGAAUGUAUGCUUUGUAAGGAAUCAUUGAUGAAUGUAGGAUAUGCAUAGUAAAGAAUAUACGUUGCAUGCAGAUAUGCAUAGCAAAGGAAAUAUAGUGCAUAUGAAAUUGUGUGCUAUGUGAAAUAUGAUAGACUGUUAAAUUUGCUGGGCUGUCGAGCUUAAUCUUGCAAACACAAAUAUUUUGCAGGUUAAUGAUGUUAAUCAAUAUUACUUGCUAUACGGAUGAUGAAGAUUGAACGAUGUGCAAAAUGAAUACAUGUCCUUGAAUUAGAAAUGGUAUAAAUCUAUGAUUUAUAGUUUUGUUAAAUGUAAUUGGCAGUUAUAUUGUAUAGUUUGAAAUGUUGGAUGGAUAAAAAAAUGUUUAUUCUGAAAUAAGAAUAAAUAUAAUUCUGAAAUAAAUGAAUUAUUGAUAGAAAAGAUAUUAAGUAUUGAGACUUAAGUUUUUAAUACAUUUACUCAGAUUAUACAAAUCAUAUAAUAAAUAUGGUUUUUGUAUAAAGAAGAAUCGUAAAGGUUGCAAUUCAGAGAACAAUGAAUGACAAGAAAAAAAAAUUAUUCCGCA